UACGGAGGGGCAAGCGUUGUUCGGAAUUACUGGGCGUAAAGGGCGCGCAGGCGGCUGCUCAAGUCAGGCGUGAAAGGCCUGGCUCAACCCGGGAAUUGCGCUUGAGACUGGGCUGGCUUGAGUGCGGGAGAGGAUGGUGGAAUUCCCAGUGUAGAGGUGAAAUUCGUAGAUAUUGGGAAGAACACCGGUGGCGAAGGCGGCCAUCUGGACCGCAACUGACGCUGAGGCGCGAAAGCGUGGGGAGCAACAGG
rnacentral:rRNA from 1 species